UUUCGUAUAACUAUAUAAGUAGUAAAUUGUAAAUUUAUUAAAAGCUUUGCUUACGACAA
rnacentral:tRNA from 1 species